CCUACGGGUGGCUGCAGUGGGGAAUAUUGGGCAAUGGGCGCAAGCCUGACCCAGCAACGCCGCGUGAAGGAAGAAGGCCCUCGGGUUGUAAACUUCUUUUAACAGGGACGAAGAAAGUGACGGUACCUGUUGAAUAAGCCACGGCUAACUACGGGCCAGCAGCCGCGGUAAUACGUGGGAUGCAAGCGUUAUCCUGAUUUAUUGGGUUUAAAGGGUGCGUAGGCUGUGAGUUAAGUCAGCGGUGAAAUGCCCCCGCUCCACGGGGUGAAGUGCCAUGGAUACUGCCUUGCUGGAAUGCGGAUGCCGUGGGAGGAAUGUGUGGUGUAGCGGUGAAAUGCAUAGAUAUCACCCAGAACACCGAUUGCGAAGGCAUCUCACGAAUCCGCGCUUGACGCUGAUGCACGAAAGCGUGGGUAUCAAACAGGAUUAGAUACCCUAGUAGUC
rnacentral:rRNA from 1 species